rnacentral:lncRNA from 1 species
UCAGAUUCGGAGGAGCUCUCCACUGUCUGAAAAGGUGGGAUCUCUUGUGGGAGGGUUCGAACUUGAGACCUUCUGCUUGCGCGGCAGGCACCAGAACCACUGACAUAAAUCCCUGGCCCCAGAUAGGAUUUGUUGACGGACUGCAUGUAAGCUAAGAGGAAGAGGAGUCAAUAAUGUGUACAAUACUAAAAAAAAUAGAAGACAACCGUGUACAAGCAUUCUGCUCACCCGUGUGUGGUGCUCUAGCUGCCACUGGACCACGGUGAAAGAAGAUGAGGUGGGAAUCCCUUGGAGGAAAAAGAACUCUCACCGUCAAAGGAAAUUCUGCAAGGAGCUUUACACUCUCAGAGCCAAGGAGGGAUGUAAACGCUCACACCAGACCUGGGAAACACCUCAUCUGCAACUCCCUGGCACAGUGAGCUUGCUCAGCUGGUCUCAGGGGAGCCUACCAGGGCUGUGGGCUUGGAGUCUUAGGAGCUGGGUUCCCUCCUCCAGUCACCUCGCCAGUCUGUGUGUGUUGGUUUUUGUUUUGGUACCGGGGAUUGAACUCAGGACCUUGCGCUUGCGAGGCAGGCGCCGGAACCACUGAGCUAAAUCCCCGGCCCUACCUUGCUAAUCUGAAGCUUGGGAUCCUCCUUGCAAGUGGGGAUAUCAGUAUUUUCCCCUUUCCAGGAUUGAUGCGACAGCCAAGUGAGCAAUGGAUGGAAUGAUAGUUUAUUAGCCGUUAGUCACUCUCCAAAAUAAAAGUUUAUUCUGAAC